ACGCUCGACACCUACUGGAGGCAGCAGUGAGGAAUAUUGGUCAAUGGGCGCUAGCCUGAACCAGCCAAGUAGCGUGAAGGAUGAAGGCUCUAUGGGUCGUAAACUUCUUUUAUAUAAGAAUAAAGUGCAGUAUGUAUACUGUUUUGUAUGUAUUAUAUGAAUAAGGAUCGGCUAACUCCGUGCCAGCAGCCGCGGUAAUCUGAGGCGGGCGUGGCGAAGGC
rnacentral:rRNA from 1 species